rnacentral:pre_miRNA from 1 species
GUAGUAUUCCCUCCAUCCCAAAAUUCUUGUCUUACAUUUGUUUAGAUACGGAUGUAUCUACUAGAUACAUCCGUAUCUAAACAAAUGUAAGACAAGAAUUUUGGGACGGAGGGAGUACAAA